AGUGAACGCUGGCGGUAGGCCUAACACAUGCAAGUCGAACGGCAGCACAGUAAGAGCUUGCUCUUACGGGUGGCGAGUGGCGGACGGGUGAGGAAUACAUCGGAAUCUACUUUUUCGUGGGGGAUAACGUAGGGAAACUUACGCUAAUACCGCAUACGACCUACGGGUGAAAGCAGGGGAUCUUCGGACCUUGCGCGAUUGAAUGAGCCGAUGUCGGAUUAGCUAGUUGGCGGGGUAAAGGCCCACCAAGGCGACGAUCCGUAGCUGGUCUGAGAGGAUGAUCAGCCACACUGGAACAGAGACACGGUCCAGACUCCUACGGGAGGCAGCAGUGGGGAAUAAUGGACAAUGGGCGCAAGCCUGAUCCAGCCAUACCGCGUGGGUGAAGAAGGCCUUCGGGUUGUAAAGCCCUUUUGUUGAGAAAGAAAAGCAGCAGGUUAAUACCCCGCUGUUCUGACGGUACCCAAAGAAUAAGCACCGGCUAACUUCGUG
rnacentral:rRNA from 1 species